rnacentral:lncRNA from 1 species
UCGAUUAUAACAACUUGAGUCAAAACUCCAACCAACAAUUGGUUCUAUCAACCCUAGAUAAGUAUUUAGCUACUCAUAACAAAAUAAGAGAAAACUACUAAAUUGUUCAUAAUGUAAAAUUUGCAAGAAUUAAAAGGAGAUAGAAAAAUUCUAAUGUUUGGUUGAUCUUAUCACUCUUGUUCUUGCCUCCAAAAGUAGUCUAAAAUCAGCUUAGCUUAAUCUUGGGCGAGUUUCUAAAGCAUAUAAGGGUUUUACAAAAGUUUCCCCAAUUUUACACUUUGGUCCUCAAACUUUCUAGCAGCGUGAACAGUGCACCGCGGUCGCGGUCGACCGCGGUGAAUGCUGACCUUUCUGCCUCACGUUGUUAAUCUACUGCGGUGCCACCGCAGUCGCGGUGGCCUUCUUGCCCAGGUCAUUUAUGCUUCUUUGUGUUCGGGUACUUCUCGAGUGGGCGUUUUUCUUCACAUUAUCGCCUCCAAAACACUCCAUGUUGCUUCCUCUCAUAUAAUAUUCCCUGCUAAACAAAAGAAAAUUAUUUAGAAUAUUUUAUUGGCAAUUUAUCUAUAAAACAACAAUAAAGUAUGGUCAUAUUAAGGUGUAAACAUCAACUAUAUAGCCUACUAUCAAUAGCCAAAAUGUUUUCUCCCUCAGAUAAUAGAGUUGGAUUUUUCAUCAUUAUAUCCUCAUCUGAAAAUAUAAUAUUUCUUCAAAUUUGUCACUUAAUUUCCAAACACAGACAUUGAAUAAUGCUCUUCUCGUGGGCAUUCUCAACCAUAAUUAUAUAAACAAAUCCAUCAUCUACAAGUCUACAACCAUUUUUCCACUGAAGUAAUGGCACCGAGGUAGGGUUGGUAAUUUGAGCCCAAACAUAUUCGAUCCGCUUAAGGUUGGACUGAUUAUUGACCCGCCCAUUUGUUAAACUUAAUCUCUUUUGACCCAACUUAUUUCAACGCAUCAAAAGUUGGGAUGAUUUUUAGCCCAGAUUAAUUCAAGAGUAAUUUGGCUAAAACAUUUUUUAAAUAUUUUUUGUUUUUGUUUGAUAUGUUAUAUAUUACCAUAAAAAAAAUAUGUUAUUUGAUAAUUAAACAAUUCAUAAGAAAAUCACCCACAUUAAUUAAAGUUUGGUAAGAGUUGAGCAGGUUGGGCUAUGACCCAAAUUUUAGCCCAACUUCACACAACACAUCUCAACCCAAGCUAUUUUUGAGCGGGUUAAUUGACUUAGCCCAUUUUGACUCGCUCAAAAUCAGCACGCCCCUUUGACACCUCUAGUAGCAGGCAAGGAAACGCGGAGACUUACAAUAUAGAGUAUGUGUUAUUAUGAAUACAGAAAGUUGCAGAAAUAUUCAAUCAAUACUAGUACAUCACAACUCCAAAUUAGUCGAGAUCCAUUAUUAUUCAAUCAACUCUGGAUAAAAGAGUCAUAACAUUCUGGCUAGUACAAUACAUCAGUAAACUGACAUCCUAAGCAGACACGCCAAGAGUCCUUAAGGUAAAAACUGUAAAAACUGUAAUAGUACUUUAAGCAGGUGUUUGGACAUAAGAAUUGUAAAAUUCUAGAAAAAAGUGGGGGAUCAAGUGAAAAUGGUAUUUGAAAAUUAGAGUUGUGUUUGGACAUGAAUACAAUUUUGGGUUAUUUUUGAAUUUUUCUGAGUGAUCUAAGUGAAAUUUUUUGGAAAAAAAAACUUUUUUGGAGUUUUUCAAAUUUUCGAAAAAUUCUAAAAUAUAUCUUCAAGUGAAAAUUGAAAAAUUAUGGUCAAACAUUGAUUUUGAAAAAAAAUAAUUUUUUCAUUUGCACUCUAAAAUAGGAAGAAAACUGCUACAAACUGAUUCUCAUACUUAAACUCCUUAAAUUAGACUGUUCAAUCGCUUACAAUGUUCUCUGGCAUUGUUGGUUAAUCAAAGGGCCACUAUAUUCACUAUACAAAUUCCAUACUUUAACUAAGCUUAGUGCAAACUACCAGCAUUAUACAAUGAAAAAAUUUGAUCAAAUAAGUUAAAACAAAAUUUUCUACAGAAGCUACUGCAUUUGAAGAUGCUCAAUUCUUCACACCUAACAAUGGCUUUGUACCUCUAUAGUCCACAGUCUAACUACAUCCAUCUUCCCAUCUUCAUUGACAUCAUUUUCCCUUUUUUUUUUGACGACCGAGAAUCCGUCUGGAGCCGAUCCUCGGUAGAUAAUGGGUCCGCCCCUCUGUCCUUCUCCACUUAAAUACCAGGCUUUGCUUUGCAUGGUGUGGGGGCUUGAACCUGUGACCUAAGACACAAAUCAACCACCCUUUGCCACUUGAGCUAGGCCCCAGGGGCGACAUCAUUUUCCUUUUCUUGUGUGCUUUAUGCUUUUCGGCGAUCCUCAGCUUUCUCUUGGCAUUUCUCAUUGGAUUAACCACAGCAAUGACCUUCUCUUCUUGUUUCCUCUUAUCCCUCUUGGAUUUGAGAGUCUUCCUUAUAUGACACUCUGCACUCCUAUAACAUUGUUUAUGCUUCUGCGCACUUCUUCAGCCGGUUGUUUCGCGUCAUCUGUGGAGUAGAUACAAACGUAAUCUGUAUUUUCAUCUUAGCUUUUUUACUUUCAUAUUUUUAAAACCUGUUUUGAAAAUGCUUUUCUUGAGCGGAAUUAUAUCUCAAAUAGACUCUCUACCUCACAUAAGAUAGGGGUGAGGUCCGCGUACACUUACCUUUCCCAGACCCCACUUAUGGGAUCAAACUGGAUAUAUUGUUGUUUGUUGUUUGUUACCUUUAAGGUUUUCUUGACCGCUAAGGUCAGACACAAGAGAUAAAUAAUGUUUUUCCCUUUCCUUGAAUCAAGUUGUUGAAAAGCCUUAAGUAGAAGACCUUGCUCAGUGCUCAUCAUGUUCAAUGGUGGACUAGAACUUGUUUUGACGCUUACAUUCAUUUUUUCCUAAGAAUGAAUACUGGCGCAAAUUGAAAAGAUAAGGAGUGUGUUUGGUAUAACGGAAAAAUUUUCCGUGGAAAAUAUUUUUCAAAAAAAUAUUUUCUUGGAAAACAAGUAGCAAUUUUAUUCAUUUUUCGGUGUUUAGUACGCAAAUUAAGGAAAAUGACUUCUUAAGAGUAUUCAUAAAUAAUUUAGAUAUAAUAAACAUGAAGCUAUAAACUUUCAAACCAAUAACCCUCCGAACCCACAAAUUUCAUAAACUUUCGAACCGCUAAACUUUCGAAAUCGCAGAAUUUCGAAUCCGUAAACUUUAUAAUUUCUAAACCCAUAAAGUUUCAAACACAUAAACCUCUGAACUCAUAAUUUUGGAACUUCUAAAAUUUUAAACCUUUAAUCCGAUAAAUAAACAAUUAAAACUGAAAAAUAUAUUUAAAAAAUAUUUUUUUGGGGAGUGGGGAGGGGCAGGGGCCGGGGGGUUGACAGUAAAACGAAAAAAAAUAGAAAUCUAAAAAAAAAAUUGUGCAUGUGGAGGGGGGGCAGGGGGCGGGUGGUGCCGAAAAACGAAAAAACAGAAAUUUGAAAUUGCAAAAAAAAAAUUAGGUAAAAAAAAUAUUUUUUUUUUGCGGGAGGGGGGUGGGGGUGGAGAGGUAGGGUGGGUGGUAAUGCAAAAAAUUGAAAUUUGAAGAAAAAAAAACCUUUUUUUAAGAGAGGGGGUGGGUGGGUUGGUGAGGGUGGAGAAGGCUGAGAAGGAGUUUUGGAAAAUGUUUUCCCUUCUCUUGGUAAGGAAAACAUUUUCUUCCAAUUGAAGAAAAACAUGGAAAAAUUGAAAAACAUUUUCCGAAAAAUAUUUUUCUUCCUACCAAACACACCCAAGAUUUCGAGUAAUGAGAUCACUGGCAGCAUUAUCAGUCUGCAGCACCUUCGGUUGACAACAAAGAGAAGUAGCUAUAAAGAAAAGUCUACUUGGCCUCAUCAAAAAGUAAGUUCCUUGAAAGUUUUUGGGUUCUGAAUUUGGCAUCGAAUCCAUAGCAUAUUUUAGUUACUGGGUUCACAAUUACAUAUUAAUAUAAACUUAAUACAUUUUCUAAUACAAAUACAAGGGUCUAUGCAAAAAGUUACUGGGUUCGGCCAAACCCACAAACUGUAUCCUGCCUCCGCCCCUGCACCACGUACAUGUAAUAAGUUGGACAUAUUAUGGAUGACUUGGUUUAGCUCUCCCACAUUUUAGGACUAUAGCUAAAAUAACAAAGUACAACAGCAAUAGUGCAUCUGAUACCCAAUGAGUACAGCAGCAACAACAGCACUAAUAAAGCAUAGAGACGUAAAAUAUUGCAUCUUUUUUCAUUCUACAGAGACAAACAUCCAUUCUAUAGAGGAUAGAUACUGUAUCUUUUUACAUUCUACAGAGACAAAUGUACAAAGAAAAAAUUUCAAAAUGCCCUCAACCAGUUAUGAAUAUCCAUUAGCUCCAUGUAAUUCCAGUAGAAUAGGUCCGGAUGGCAGGCAAAUUUUAUGAUCGCUCAUAUUUAUAGAAGUAAUCACUUAGUAUAGUAAUCAGUACAAUAGUAACUUUAGUUUCAAAUAGAAGAUUAAAAGAAAAGGAAAAAUACCUCACGAUGAAGUCGUUGCAUCAUUUGUAAGAACACUAACAGCAGAUAGCAAGAUGUUUCUCAAAACAGGCAAGAGACUAUCAAUAUACUUUUGGAAACCAUCCUUCACCACUUCAAUGAGUAACCCCAAAACCUGUAGAAGAAAUGAUGAAGCCUUGAAACAUUAUUUUUCUAUUUUUGAUGAGGAAGAAGUUAUAUCUCAGAUUCAUGAAAGACAAAAAAAAAAAUUAGAGGUCAACUCGUCCAUCUUCCUCUCGUCUAAUUCAAUGUUCAUAUAUAAAUGAAAAUGAAAAAGUGAAUGACAUAUGGAACUUCUAUUCCUCAGUAUUCCCAACUUGCUCCUCUAUGAUAACACACCCCAACCAAGCUGAUCCAACAUAAUGUACUUGAAAUAAAAGAACAGUUUGGGACUUUCACCCCUUUACCUGUGCUGCAGCACUCCACAAAUGUGGUUUAUCUCCCGGGUACUAAGACCGACUAAACUCAAGAAUACCUAAGGAUUGGCUCAAGGGAUAGUCUCCCUUUCAUGUCCAAUCUUGAAAGUGUGGCAAUAUUUUAAACCAUCGUUGACAAAUGUUAUAACGAUCCGACCGGUCGUUUUGAGAUUUUGUAUUUUGCUCGUCAGUUCUCGGGCAUUACUAGCCCCGUGUGAUGUAUUAUGACUUAUGUAAAUCGUUGAUUUUGGUUUUCAGGGUAAUCAGAAAGAAUUUGGAAGAACAGUUAUCAGUUUGAAGCUUAAAAUUUGAAAGGUUUGAUCAAGUUUUGACUUGUUAGUAUAUGAUCUCGGAUUAGAAUUUUUAUGAUUUGGUUAGCUCCGUUAGGUGAUUAAGGACUUAGGAGCGUGAUCAGAAUGUAUUUUUGAUUUCCGUGGAAGGUUUAAGCUUGAAUUGGCGAAAUUGGGAUUUUUGGCGUUUUCCGGUUGAUAGGUGGGAUUUUGAUAUAGGGGUCGAAAUGGAAUUCCGGAAGUUGGAGUAGGUUCGUUGUGUCAUUUAUGACGUGUGUACAAAAUUUCAGGUCAUUUGGAUGAGGUUUGAUAGACUUUUUGAUCGAAAGCGGAAUUUGAAAGUUUUUGGAAUUCUUAGGCUUGAAUCUGAUGCAAAUUUAGUGUUUUAAUGUUGUUUUGAGUGUUACGAAGGUUGGAACAAGUUUGAAUGAUGUUAUAGGAUAUGUUAGCAUGUUUGGCUGAGAUCCCGAGGGCCUCGGGUGAGUUUCGGAUGGUUAACGGAUCAAUUUUUGGACUUUGGACUUGGCAGAUUUUCUGGUAUUUUGUUGCAGAGAAAUCCUUCUUCGCGUUUGCGAGAGGCUUCUCGCGCUCGUGAAGGGUUAUUGAGAGGGUUAGUCAAGUUGUUCUCUACGUUAGCGAUGUAGGUCUCGCGUUCGCGAAGGUGUAUGAGUUUAAGGCUAUGCAUUCGCGACCUGGGCCUCGCGUUCGCGUAGAGUCUACGAUCAUGUGGAGUUCAAGCAAUUAAGCCUACGCGUUCGCAUUUGGUGUUACACGUUCGCGUAGGGUCGAGUUAUGUGGUCAUCGCAUUCGCGUGUGGGCCCUUGCGUUCGCUAAGGAGAGAAUUUGGUCAGUGAAGCUUUGAGCUUCGCGAACGCGAGGGUGAUGUCGCAUUCGCGAUAAAGAAUACAUGGGCAGUCAGUUUAUAUUAUUAAAAUCGAGGGUUUGAUCCAUAAUUUCAAAAUUCCAUUAGAGAGCUUGGGAGAAGGUGAACUUUGAGGAGAUUUUCAGUGGAGCUAUUGGGGUAAGUAUUCUUCACUCAUAUUUGGUUUAAUUCCAUGAUUUAGUCUUGAAUUUCAUCAUUUAAUUUGAAAGAUUAGAGUGAAAAUUUGGGGGGGAAAUGGAAGAAAAGUUUGAGAAUUCUUUUGGGGAUUUGAAUGGCCAUUUGAUGUCAAAUUUUGAUAAUUUUGGUAUGUAUAGACUCAUGAGAGGAUAAGGAUUCUAUUGAUGUGACUUUUAUCGGAUUCCAAGACGUGGGGCCGGGUUUGGCCAAUUUCGGGAUUUUUGGUAUAAAUUGAAUAUUUUCGAAUGGGCUUUGUAACCUUAGCAUAUUUUGAUGGUGUGAAUCUGCUUUUGGCUAGAUUUGAAGCAUUCAGAGACCGAGUCGAGAGACAAAGGCAUCGCGGGCUAGAGUUUGGACCGAAUUGAGGUGAGGAAUGAUUGUAAAUGUUGUCCUGAGGGUAUGAAACCCCGAAUUUCACAUUAUUGUGCUAUAUGGAGGUGACGCACAUGCUAGAUGACGAGCGUGAGGUCGUGCACUGUGGGGAUUGAUACUUAGUCCAUCCCGAAUGACUGUUUUACUGCGUAUUUGAUUGAAAACUCUUUGUUAUCAUCAUGUUUUAGGCUGAAUGCUAUAUUUGGGCAUGGUGCCAACUAUUUUGGACCCUUAGGGGAUUUUUACUAUUAUUCCCCACUGUUUUGACUUUAUACUUGUACUCAGUCAUUCUACAUUUUACUCUUUUCAUAACUCAGUCAUGUUUACUCUGUUUUGACAUAUUAAAUGAUAAUUUGGGUUGAGCAUCAUAUUUUACUGUGCCCGAGUGUCUUUUAGAGAUUUCUGACUGAGUAGGGCCGAGGGCCUGUGUUGUGAGGAUUAUUAUGGGAUCGGGCUGCACGUCGCAGUAGUGUUGUACUGAUUAUGAUUAUGAGGCUGAGGGCCUGAGUUGUACGCCAUAAGGUGGCUUGGUAUGAGGCCGAGAGCCUAUUGAUUAUGUCACGAGAUGACUUGAUAUUGUGCUUGGGCCGUAAGGGGACCCUCCCGGAGUCUGUACACCCCUAGUAAGCGUGGGUACCUAGUGUGUUAUGUGAUAUAGACCGAAGGGCUGAUGUUAUUCCAUGUUAGUGCCCGAGGGGUGGUUCUUGAUUUAUGUUAUGCCCGAGGGGCUGAUUACGUGUGAUUGUGAGGUAGCCUGAUAGGCUGGUUCUGUUGAUAUUAUGCCAGAGGGGCGGUUUAUGGUACAUAUUUUGCCCGAGGGGCUGUUUACGUUUCUAUCAUGUUUAUUCACUAUUUUAUCACUCGUUUGAAACUAUUGAAAAUUAUUUUUAAGAGGUUUUUAUGGAAACUGAGCAUGAUUUACGAAGUAACUAAUUUCUGUACUAUGUUGGGAAUAUCAUGUAUUUGUUGUAGCUUUUUGACAUGGUUUACGUGUUUUCUUACUGCUCAACUUUCAUUUACCUUUAUUACUCACUGAGUUGGAGUACUCACAUUACUCCCUACACCUUGUGUGCAGAUUCAGGUAUUUCUAAACCCGGUAGUGGGUGUUGAUUGCUUGGAGGCAGAGUCAUCAGAGUUUAGCAAGGUAGUUGCCCGACGUUCGCAUCACUGCUUUUCUCCCUCUUGUCUUCCUUAGACUAUAUUUAGUACAUUCUUAGACUCUUGUUGUAUUUAAACCUGAGUAGAUGUUUGUGACUUUUGAUACCUCGAUGUCCGGCUUGUAUAUUAUUUCUGCACUGUUCAUUUAGACUUACAUUAUGAGAUAUUUGAUUAAUUAAAAAGCUUAGAAAUGAAUUAUCAUUGAUUAAAUGGUUAACUCGGGAGUUGUGUCAGCUGGCCUAGUUUCACGAUAUGUGAUAUCACAACCCGGUCGGUUUAGGGUCGUGACAAGUUGGUAUCAAAGUCUGGGUUAUAUAGGUCUCGCGAGUCAUGAGCAGGUUUAGUAAAGUCUCGCGGAUCGAUACGGGGAUGUCUGUACUCAUCCUCGGGAGGCUGCAAACCCUUUAGGAAAUCCCAUAUUCUUGAAUUCUUAUCGUGCGUCCUUGAUUCAGCUUGAAAUGUAACUCUUGAGAUUCCUUCCACGCAUUCAUGUGCGUGCAUGAGCACUCAGUAUCAUAUGUGCAUCGACGGCUUGUGAUUCCCUGAUCGAGGGGCGAGAUGAGAUCUCUAUAUGUUAAUGUUGGACCAGUCUGAAGGACUUGAAGUCGGGUUUUGUCGAUAGCUUGAGCAAUGAGGUGUUGAUUGUGUAAGCACGUGCUUUUUGAAUUUAUAUGUUCGGUAGCAUCCCUAUUAGUGGAAGUAAUGGCUGGAUGACUAUGACCGCGAGAUGUGUUCAUAUGAUUUGGAAGCGACGAGAAGGGUAUGUUUGGGGAUAGAAGAACUAUUUGGUACUUGAUUUCCAUCUUGAUUUGAUGUAUAGCCCCGAGUUAUGGGAGUGUGAAGAAUCUUUUCAUGUUUUCUAGUUGGGGAGUGAAGUAAGUUUCAUGUUGCGAUAUGAGUUCAGACUUAGGAAGAUUAAGUGACUGCGUAAUGUUUAUGAUGGUGGAAGGGUAUAAAGAGAUGUUAGUUUGAGGCGAAGCAGGUGGGUUAUCUCCUGCGGGUGUUUUGAAGUUUGUGUGAUCCUUAUGUGGUUUGUUGGAAAACCUCUUUUACCAGUGAAAUGUAUGUGUUGCAAUUUGAAUUUGGGUUGCGUAAGAGAGUGGGCUUGACUGCUACGAGGGCGAAUGCGAGAUUUGUGGGAGAUUUGAGGUACUAGAUGGUUUGUGUUGUACGAGCUUAUGAAGGAUUGAGUUUAAUCUCACUAUGGUAUUAUGACAGUAAUAGAGUAUAUGCAUUAUGAGUUAUUGUGUGUUUUGAUCUAUGGCUUUGAGCCAAGUGGGGGAGUCUGCUAUUGAUUAGUUGAUUGCACGGUUAUGGGCUAUGUUGGUUCCAGUAUGAGGCGUACUAGUGAAUCAAUUGUGGCUUGCGAGGGUCGAGAUUGAGAAUGGUUCGAGUAUAGGAAAUUUUAAUAAAGGUUAUGUUAUACUUUAUGGGUGUAUGAGAAUCAUGGAAUGACUUGGGUUGUUAUUGGUAAAGGAUGUACGGUGCAUAGAGCAGGAAGUUGCUUGGUUGUAGGUGAGGUUACAUUCUGCAGUGUCGGAAUGAUAAUGGAGCACAGGUUAUUCGGUUCUUUUGAUCAGUCUAAUUGUAGUUUGAGUAGAGAGGAUGACUCUCGAGAAUGGUUCUAACGGAUUCAAGACUUUACAUGUAAUAAUUGUAGAUUUUCAGGUUGUAUGUUUGGCUAGAAACUGAGGUUUGCAUUGGAGGGUGUCAAGACUUGUGGCAUUUCUAUACCAAUUAUGGGAUUCUUUAUAUCAGUAUCAGGAAGGUGAAGGUAACGACUUUGGAUUCGCAGGAAGUCCCUUCAGGGUAGGUAUUUUUGAAUAUAGUGCUUUUGGGGAAUAUUUAAGAGAGUAUUCAGCGGCUUAUGAACCUUAAACGGUAUGGUUUUAUGCUUGGGUCUCGUAUAGUGAGUCUGGAUUGAGGAAUUAUGGUGUUAUAGCAAGAAGAAGUAUCAAGUUGAAGGUAAAUCAGAAGGAACUUUGAUAGAUGGGAUAGCUUGGUAGUAGGCCGGAUCGGCAUGGUAAGGAUAUGAUUAGUUCUUUGGAUGCUUAUGAGGUAAUAAGUUUAUACAUGUGUUUCACGGCAAUGCUCUUGGGUUUUAGUGGCCUGCGCAGCUUGGUUGAGUUAGAAGGAUUCAGUCCUGACAUGUUUGGUUUUGUGCAAAGGGGACUCGGGGAGUUCUUAAUGAUUUCUGCCACGGUUUGGAGGUGUAUAUUUCCUACUGGCAUGAGGAGCAUGGGAUGUAUAGUAAUUUUCUCAUAGAUGUGAUUAAAUGGGAGAGUUCUUGGCUAGUUGAGUAUGUAGUUUCUUGCGGCUCGGAAUGGGUAUGUAGUUCUCAUGUUUAUCCUAGGAUGGUAUGGUAUAUGUGGUAUGUUGCGUAGGAUUGAGAUUUGCAUGUGUAAGGUCACGGUUCAAUUUUGAAAAGAACGUCACAAAUUCUUAGGUAGUGUCACACCUCCUUUUUCCCACCCGAGGGUAUAUAAGGGAGUUUUUUCAAUUAAAGUGACAAUAACCGAAACGGAAUUAUUUAUUCAAAUUUAGAGUCGCCACUUGGGAUAAUUUAUAGUGUCCCAAAUCACCAGUUUAAAAUCCUGAAUCGAGGAAGAUUGACUCUAUUUACGGUCUGCGAACACAAAAAUCCAGGUAAGGAAUUUUAUUAAUCCGGAAGAAGGUGUUAAGCAUUCCCGGGUUUCGUGGUUUUAGCACGGUUGCUCAACUAUUAAUAAUUGACCUAAUUAUCUGAUUUAGUACAUGUUUUAAACCUACGUGCAUUUUUAACUUUCUAACUGCUUUCAAUAUUUUUAGGAAAAUUCAUGAUCAUCAUACACUUGCUUAUUUUUGAAAACACAUCGUAAACCACGCUACAUGAAAUGCACCCGCGGUUCACGACAUGUUUAAUUAUUAAACGUUAUUGAAAAUUAAAGUCGGGUCACAUGAAAUGUAUACCCGGAUUUGGAAAUUAUAUAUUGCAACUAUGUCACGGGAACCGUACCCGUAGCCGUGAUGAUUCAUUUACGCGCCUAGAGCAGACUACGAAAAUUCAUAAAUUAUUUUCCUAAGACUAGUUUGAAACUAUUGUGAGGCUAUAGACUAUUGACCCAGCUGUGAAACAAUAUACAUAAUAAACACUCAAGUGCAAUUCUUCCACCUUAUUCACAUCCACAUAAGGAACAGAUACAUUUACACAUAAGAAUUACUUAGUAUAUGUCUUCCUUCAGGAAAAUACUAGGUCCAAACAUAUAUUAAUCAUGUAAGGCCAAGAGGUAAAAUUGCAUUAAAUUUAUCAAAACCAGCUGGUGUGACUAGAUACAAAAACGUAAGAAUACAUAAAAAGAAAAGGGAGGAAAUUAACCUCAAUAACUGAUAGGAUCGAUAAUGAAACGAACUAAAAGAAGACUUUUGAACAAAAAGCCCAAACUCGAGCCACCGAUCACAGACCUCAAACAGAACUUCCACAAGAAGCUCCAUCAAAUUUCGACGGAGUUUUGUUGCUCGGCUCGACUAUCCUGAAUCGAACUCUGCUUGUUUAGAUGGGUUUUUGAGAUUGUUUUUCAUGGUUGUGUUGCUGCGUUUUCCAGCAAGAAGAAGAAGAAGCUGAAGCGUUCGAGAUCUGUCUAUGGUUGCUUCCUUGUUUGUAGAAGAAGGUCUAAAAUGGUUAUUUGUGUUCAAGCAGAAGAUCGACGUGGGGAGGUCCUUUUUGUAUUGUUGCGGCUGCUUUGAAGAAGAAGGCAACCCUGAAGGUUUUCUCUUUGGUUGUAUAUCAAAAUCAGAAGGAAACGGCUGCUUUCCAAAAGUCUAAAGGUCUUUAUUUUGUGUAUUCACGGCUGUGUUCCCUCUAUUGUGUUAGAAUGCUAAUGAAGUUAGGGUGUGUGUGUGAGGAAGAAGUUGUUCGCUGGGGGGUCUUAGUGUAAACGGUGGAUCUGAGGUCUUUAGGUUUUCUACUGUGUCCUCAUGAAAAAGAUGACAUUUUUUGGGGUCCCAAACGGCUGAAGGCCUUCCUUUUGUUAGGGAUUUUUAGGUUAAUUUAUGUGUAUUCUGCUAAAG